rnacentral:rRNA from 1 species
CACCCCUCAAGCGUAGCUUGGUCUUGGGUCCGCGCCGCCCCGGCGUCCCCGAAAAGCAUUGGCGGUCCGGGGGCGACUUCCAGCGUAGUAGAUCAACCUCCCGCUGCGAAGCGCCCCCGGUGGCCCCCAGACAAGCCCCAUCAGCCUCAAU